rnacentral:rRNA from 1 species
GUAAUGGCUCACCAAGGCUAUGACGCCUAUCUGGUCUGAGAGGAUGAUCAGACACACUGGAACUGAGACACGGUCCAGACUCCUACGGGAGGCAGCAGUGGGGAAUAUUACACAAUGGAGGAAACUCUGAUGUAGCAACGCCGCGUGGAGGAUGACACACUUCGGUGCGUAAACUCCUUUUAUGUGAGAAGAUAAUGACGGUAUCACAUGAAUAAGCACCGGCUAACUCCGUGCCAGCAGCCGCGGUAAUACGGAGGGUGCAAGCGUUACUCGGAAUCACUGGGCGUAAAGCGCGCGCAGGCGGCUUUGUAAGUUGGAUGUGAAAUCCUAUGGCUCAACCAUAGAACUGCAUCCAAAACUACUUAGCUAGAGUCUGGGAGGGGAAGAUGGAAUUAGUGGUGUAGGGGUAAAAUCCGUAGAGAUCACUAGGAAUACCAAAGCGAAGGCGAUCUUCUGGAACAGUACUGACGCUGAGGCGCGAAAGCGUGGGGAGCAAACAGGAUUAGAUACCCUGGUAGUCCACGCCUAAACGAUGAAUGUUAGUCGUCGGGAGGCUUGUCCUUUCGGUGAUGCAGCUAACGCAUUAAACAUUCCGCCUGGGGAGUACGGUCGCAAGAUUAAAACUCAAAGGAAUAGACGGGGACCCGCACAAGUGGUGGAGCAUGUGGUUUAAUUCGAAGAUACGCGAAGAGCCUUACCUGGCCUUGACAUUGAUAGAAUCUGCUAGAGAUAGCGGAGUGCCCUUCGGGGAGCUUGAAAACAGGUGCUGCACGGCUGUCGUCAGCUCGUGUCGUGAGAUGUUGGGUUAAGUCCCGCAACGAGCGCAACCCUCGUCACUAGUUACUAACGGUUCGGCCGAGGACUCUAGUGAGACUGCCUUCGCAAGGAGGAGGAAGGUGAGGACGACGUCAAGUCAUCAUGGCCCUUACGGCCAGGGCGACACACGUGCUACAAUGGGAUGUACAAUGAGACGCAAUACCGCGAGGUGGAGCAAAUCUAUAAAGCAUCUCUCAGUUCGGAUUGUAGUCUGCAACUCGACUGCAUGAAGCUGGAAUCACUAGUAAUCGUAGAUCAGCCAUGCUACGGUGAAUACGUUCCCGGGUCUUGUACUCACCGCCCGUCACACCAUGGGAGUUGAUUUCACCCGAA